AUUGAACGCUGGCGGCAGGCCUAACACAUGCAAGUCGAACGAGUGGCGGACGGGUGUGUAAUGUCUGGGAAACUGCCUGAUGGUGGGGGAUAACUACUGGAAACGGUAGCUAAUACCGCAUACCAUCAGAUGUGCCCAGAUGGGUUUAGCUAGUUGGUGGGGUAACGGCUCACCAAGGCGACGAUCCCUAGCUGGUCUGAGAGGAUGACCAGCCACACCGGAACUGAGACACGGGCCAGACGACAACGGGAGGCAGGAGUGGAGAGUAGUGCACAAUGGGAGCAAGCUUGAUACAGACAUGCCGAGUGUAUGAAGAAGGCAUUCGGGUUGGAAAGGACUUCCAGUGGGGAGGCGGUACCCGAAGAAGAAGCACCGGCUAACUCCGUGCCAGCAGCCGCGGUAAUUC
rnacentral:rRNA from 1 species